rnacentral:misc_RNA from 1 species
AACGAGGCCGACCUGCGGCUGAGUUACCUGCGGAGGGAUCAUUACCAAUUUCAACGGUUGUGGUACUUUUUUUAGUAUUACAAUCUUUUACUCUAUGUAAACUUGUUGAACUUGUGCUGUGAGGAAAUUUGGGUGUUAUUGCUGCGCCUUUGUGUGUGGUUAAUGCACCCAUUACUACCUUGCACGUUAAACAACUUUAGACAUACUACUACAUACUACAAAAAAACAAUGGAAUCCUAU